rnacentral:lncRNA from 1 species
AAAAAUGAAUUUAAAGAAAAAUCUAAAAAUAAAAACUUAUGAUAAAAACUGUAAACUUGAUUGUGUCAAUAGGUAGAGAAUUUUUGGUCAUAAUUUAGAAAUAGAAAAUAUGGACAAUAUAAAAUUCCUAGAAAGGAUAGAAUGUGUAAACUGUGCCUCUUGUAGGUCAAUGAAGAACACCUAUUCCUUGAUUGUAAAAUUAACAAAACAACUUUGAGAUAAUCUAUUUGAAAAUUAUUUACCUUCUCAUAAUAAUGUCUCUUACCC